rnacentral:rRNA from 1 species
CCUACGGGAGACAGCAGUAGGGAAUCUUUCACAAUGGGCGAAAGCCUGAUGGAGCAACGCCGCGUGCAGGAUGAAGGCCUUCGGGUUGUAAACUGCUUUUAUAAGCGAGAAAUAUGAUGGUAACUUAUGAAUAAGGAUCGGCUAACUACGUGCCAGCAGCCGCGGUCAUACGUAGGAUCCGAGCAUUAUCCGGAGUGACUGGGUGUAAAGAGUUGCGUAGGUGGCAUAAUAAGUAGCUAGUGAAAUCUGGUGGCUCAACCAUUCAGACUAUUAGCUAAACUGUUAAGCUCGAGACCGUUAGGGGUAACUGGAAGUUCUAGUGUAGGAGUGAAAUCCGUAGAUAUUAGAAGGAACACCAAUAGCGUAGGCAGGUUGCUGGGACGGUUCUGACACUAAGGCACGAAAGCGUAGGGAGCAAACGGGAUUAGAUACCCCAGUAGUC